UUGUAGGUUAAGAGAAUUAUAAUUUAAAAUAAAGUUUUUUGUCGUAAAUAGGAAUUAUUUUCAAGAGAAGUUUGUUUUGUUUUCGUGCGCGUAGGAGACGAGACGUACGAAUUAAAUCAGUCGAGGGAAGGAUAAACGUUAGAAAGGAAUUAAAGAGAAAACGAGAGUUUAUGUAAAAGAGAGUUAUAGAAUUUAUAGUGAUGUUUUGUUUUAAUUAGAAAAAUGUUGAGAGUUGUUUCAGAACGACACGUCAGUGGACGUGGCAGAGUGAACACGUGACGGGGAGGUGCUGAGACCUAGCGGAGAACGGAGGAACCGCAAGCGAGGGUUGGCGCACCUGAUGGAAUUCGGUGACGUCACGGGCUCAUACGGAGACGUGGACGGCCGUGACCUUGUUUUGAUCAGCUGUACGGUAACUUAGCGAUAAGAAAAUAGACUAUUGGUUAAAUAAAUUUAAAUUUAAGUGUGUUUUAGGAGAAGAGGAACUUUCAGUAUAUUCCUUAAGAUGAGCUGAGCAGCAGUCCAGUUUACAAGAUGACAAGAGUUCGAGAGACAAGAUACAAGAUCACUGAAACAAGAGCCAAGACUGAAGAUUCAAGAGAAGAGAAAGCUGGCAGCCAUGGACUUACAAGUGGAGAUUAAUAAGGUCAUGUAAAGUUUUAUUUUUUUUUUAUGGAAGACAGUAACUGGAGUUUUUUUUUGUUAUAAACAUUAUUUACAGAACUUUUUAGGUUAUAGUAAUGUAAUGGAACUAGUGAGUUGUGGUAGCUGUCAAAAAGAACUAAUACCUUAAGUUUAAUUUUUAAAGUUAAUUUUCUUAAUUUACAGAGGGAUUAGUAGUUUUUUUUAAAACCUUAUUUAGGUUGGAAUUUAAAUACAAUAGCUUAUUAUAAAUGUGUACGAACAGUUCAAGUUCACAGUACUGAUAGGUAGGUCAGAUGAUCUUAUUGAUUUUGAUGAUUUGUUGUUUUGAGUUGAUUUUUAAGUGUUGUGAAUUAGACAAUGAAAUAGUUCUGAAAACUUAAAUUAUUUCAAGCUAAGAAAUAGUAAAGUUAAUUGUAACUCAAAGGACACCAGAAUUUAAUUUUUUUUUGAAUUAGUAAUGUUUGAAAAUUUUAUACUUUACAAGAAAGGUUAUAAACAAACAGAUCGGAUGGAACAAGGAUGCAGUAAAUCACAAUUUCAUUUAGAAUUAUUGAUUAGCUUUUGAGGUUAUGAAGUAAAAGUAAUUAUAGUUUAAAAGUUUGAAUAAAAAAAAAAUGGUUUUUUUUUAUUUGUUUGAAAUAGAAAGUUUAAAAGUUAAUUAGUCAUGAUCUAGGUGGGUGAUGGGGUGGGAAUUGGCCACUCUUUUUCCCUAUAACCUCCCUAACAUGGCCUUCUAUUACAUCUAACAGAAGAAAAAAAAAGAAGAAAAAGAAGACUUAGUAUUAGUUAGAAUGUUUUUUCAUGAAGAUACCUGAUGAACUUUUUUUUUAUUGUUGGGAAGAAUAGUAGCAAGAUUAAUCAGAUGUUUUACUCAGAAGAAGAAGAAGAAGAAGAUAAAGCAGUUUUAUGACUCGACAAGCCAGAGAUUGGUGUUUCCCCUCUGCGCUCCUAUUGACUACGUUGUUUACUCUCAUGGGAUAGCUGGUUCGGCACCAUGGAGAGAGAUUGGUGGGCAUUGUGGUUGCCCCCAGAAGAAAAGAAGAGUAGAAGAGGUUAUGGGUGGGUCAUGUGAACUGACCUUCAACCCAGUUACUUCGUGGGGACUAUUUGCUGUAUAGAGAAGAUCAAGACUCAAGAGUUAGGGAAAAUCAUUGGAGGUCAUGUUUCCCUUCCUUAAGUUUUUCCUAUCAAAUUAUUUGCCUGAUUAGAUUAUGCUAAGGGUGGGAUACUUUAUGUUAGCAGUUGAAUUAAUUAAUUUUAUUUUUUUGUGUGUUUGCAUCCUUGCCCAUCGAUUGCAGUUUAGUAGUUAGUUUUGUAUUUGUCAGGCGUGAUGGUAAUGCCUGUUGAUGAUGUUUCAGAAUUGUAAUCUGUUCGUGAUGAGGAUGGCACAACUCCGAAGCAGAUGUGGGGAGAAGUUGUGAGCUGCCCUGGAAGCCAGUCCAGUAGCUGUUGGAGUUGAGUGGUGUUUGCUGAUGGCCAGCCCAGGGAGCUACUCUUCUCGACAACACUGACUUCGAGGAGUUGCACCAACCUUCACGAGAUAAGAGUUUAAUUAAUUGAAACACUGUAAGGACACUUAAUUUUUUUUGAAGAACGAAAGAAGUAUGGUAAUAAACAGAAACCGAAAAAAAAAAA